rnacentral:lncRNA from 1 species
AUGAAGAUGCCUGUCAGUCCCUCAAGCGAAACAUUCUCACCCCUCUCAGCUUUCUGCUCCUUCUCCAGCUCCCUCCUUCCCAGUCCUCAAUUUCCUCUGCGUUCUGGCUUGGAGAAGGCUUUCCGGUGUGCGCAGCCCGUGAACAGGGCCUGGCUGCAAACACAGGGCAGGGAUGUGAGGAAUGUGAGAUUCCUACAUAGAGGGGUGGGAGGGAGAGAGGGGAAGGAAUGGAGGAGGAAGACAAGGCUGCCAAAGACAAGGCAUGGGAGAGGAGCCAAGCUAUGGCGCUUCGAGGGCGGGGGUUCAGGUUCCGCGGCCCCUGCCCAGGCUGGCCCUCAGAAUGUUGCCUUCCUCCGCUCCCGGCCUGUCAAUCAUUGCCUAUUUAAACACCACGCUGUUCCCUCAAGUCCCCUCCUCCCCGUCCUCCAGCCAGCCCAGGCCCCUCCUGCACUUUUUAAGGCUCCCCCAUUCCAAUGGAUCACCCCAACAACCCACCCACCAGCGCCCCUUUAUCACCUCUGGACUCCUCCCUAUUGCUGCUCCCUUCCUCCAUUUUUCAUCUUUACUCUCACCCCUUCUCCUGACCUCCAACGUCGCGAACCCCCGCCUCAAUCCCCCUGGGACAUCGCCCCCUCCUUCCCACACCCUCCUUUAAGUGGGAGCGCGCGCAGGCGCCGUACGCACCGCCCUGGAAGCGGUCUGGACUCUCUGUACCCGCUGCGGCCGAGAGACAGCCUGGGUGCCGGGUCCCAGCCUUUUCUGGGAGGGGAAGGGGAAGGGGAAGAAGACGCGAGAGGGUUCCGACCACUCUCUGCCGUGUGGGACGGAACCUUUGCCCCGCCCACCGCUGCUACGCAACCGGCGGAAGCCCGUCACCAAGCUCCGCCUCUUUGUUUAACUCAGUCCUGGACUGGAAACCACGAGCAGCCAACGAGGAGAGUGAGGGCUAGCCAGGCCUCCGCUCUAGACCGGAAGUCUUUAUGGUCCCCGGGAGAACUAGAUAGCCAUUUGGGAGGGAGGACUCUAUGUUCUUCCCAGCGUGAACAUCAGGGGCUGAGCGGGAGGCCGACUCUCCAGGAGAGCGAGACUUCGCUUUGGAGGGGUGCACGUGUUCGUGCUCUAAAGCUGAUGCGACUUGGUGCGAGAUCGUCGCUAGUAGGCUGGCCUGCAGUGACCUGCUGUCUCCCCGGCCCCUCUCCCGUUUCCAGAGCCGUGGUACAACACCGUGGCUGGGGUUGUGGGCGGGAGAGAACCUGA